CUCCUAAGUGCUAACCUUCAACGAACGGCUCAGAACACUCCCCAAUCCAAGCAACACACAAUCUUCUCUCUUAACCGCCUCAGCAAGCAAACUUUCUACACGCUUCAUCUCACGGACCUCCCGAGGCCUUCAAUCCCGGCGGCUCCAUCCGCCAAAUCAAUGACCCUUACCCAAAUCCGAACCCAAUCUAAAGAACCCGAGCAUCCUCCUCGGAAACCCACCGGAGCCACCGGAAUGAGACUUAUAGUGCCACUUCAAGGUGUUGUCCAAGGCAGAGGAGGCCUAAUAUUAGGUUCUCUAAUCCCUUGCGCUCUCUUCUACUUUUUUCACCUCUACCUUAAACGGCAUCGUUCUGCAAAUCCGUCUUCGAACCCUCCGUCGCCUUCCGCUUCAUCUCCAAACCUUGCGGAUAUCCCCAGGACGGCUUCGCGCUCUAACUUAUCCAGCCGGGGAUCAUUUGGCCCGGGUCGGGCAUCUAUAUCGACCCGGGCGAUGUCCAUUGCGAAGCCUAAUGAUUCUCCCUACUAUAUUGGGCUGGAUAAGGUCUCGGGAAAUCCUUAUGAUAGAACGAGUAAUCCCGAUGGGAUUAUUCAGCUUGGGUUGUCUGAGAACAGACUGUGUUUAGAUUUGAUUGAGAAAUGGAUGGCGAAGAACCUGAGGGAUUCUAUAGUGGGAACAGACGGUGAUGAUCUGAAUAUUAAUGGUAUCACGACAUACCAGCCGUUCGAUGGAUUGAUGGAGUUAAAAGUGGCUAUGGCAAAUUUCAUGUCUCGGGUUGUGGGAAAAGUGGUCUCAUUUGAUGCAUCACAGAUGGUAUUAACUGCUGGUGCAACUCCUGCAGUUGAGAUUUUAUCUUUCUGCUUGGCAGACCAUGGAAAUGCAUUUCUUGUUCCAACACCAUAUUACCCUGGAUUUGAUAGAGAUAUGAGAUGGCGAACAGGAGUAGAGCUAGUACCUGUUCACUGCCGCAGCACUGACAAUUUCAUAUUAAGUGUCACUGCCCUUGAACAAGCUUACAAUCAUGCUAGAAAACGAGGUUUAAAAGUUCGUGGACUAUUGAUUUCUAACCCUUCAAAUCCUGUUGGCAAUUUACUGCCGCGAGAAAGACUCUUUGAUAUACUAAACUUUGCUCAAGAGAAAAACAUCCACAUUAUUUCUGAUGAAAUAUUUGCUGGGUCAGUGUAUGGAGAGGAUGAAUUUGUGAGCAUGGCACAAAUUCUUGAAGAAGAAGAUUUUGACAAGAACAGGGUUCAUAUAAUAUAUGGUCUCUCAAAGGAUCUUUCUCUUCCAGGAUUUAGGGUUGGGGCUAUCUAUUCCUAUAACGAAAAUGUCUUGACUGCUGCUAAAAGGUUAACUAGAUUUUCUUCUAUUUCUGCUCCAAGCCAGAGGCUACUAGCUUCAAUGCUUUCAGAUGCAAGUUUCAUUGAGGAAUAUAUUGAGACCAAUAAAAAAAGGAUUGGAAAUAUAUAUGGCUUAUUUGUUGAAGGUUUCAGGCGAUUAGGAAUCAGGUGUAUGGAAAGUAGUGCUGGUUUAUACUGUUGGGCUGACAUGGGUAAACUAAUCCCCUCUUACAGUGAGAAAGGGGAACUUGACUUGUGGGAUAAGCUGUUGAAUAUUGCCAAGAUCAAUGUGACUCCUGGAUCAGCCUUCCACUGCAUAGAACCAGGAUGGUUCCGGUGCUGUUUUACUACUUUAACUGAAGAUGAUAUUCCUAUAGUCAUAGAACGGAUUCGUAAAGUUGCAGAAACUUGUAAAUCUCCUGGUUGAAUUGUAAACUUGCAUAGUGAAUUUUUUCAGUCUUGAUUGCCUUUAGAUUUGCUAUAUAAGAGAGCACUUUUUUCAACAAUACAUAUGGAUAUUUUUCCAGUUACUGAGUUAAUGAAAAAGUU
rnacentral:misc_RNA from 1 species